GCCCUAUUCGAAAAAUGCAAUACGGAAAAGAUAUGAGAUCGUUAAGUUCUGGUUUAGAUAUAGAUAAGUUCUCAAUUAGAUAUCGUUUGUAUGUGGUAUAAUUGACAGAAGCUGCACGAUUCGGAUGACCAAUGUCACUUUGACGUUAGAAUAUCUUUGAAAGAUCUUAGUCAGUGUUGCCAGAUGGGUUUUGCGUUCCGUUACGUGCACCUCUUAAAAAUAGUACGCAAAUUCAAGUUGAGUACGCAGUAUAAAAUUUACGGUGCGUUCCUAAAUAAUAUUAAUCGGAAAACCACCGAAUUUUAUCGCUACUAUAAAAAUGUUGAAAAUAGAACUUCACAUAUUUCGAUAAAAUAUUUCUUGUUUAAGGAGACUCAAUUCAAUGCAAAUUUGCCAACGGUGGCGUUUCGAAAUGUAAUACCGUCGCGGCGUCUGUCAUACUUCGGUCUACUUAAACACGCUGCACGCUGCUGCGACGCGUCAGGGCCUACCGCGAACCACGUUCGACGUGUUGCCUCUCUGUCGCACUUAUAAAUUCGUACGUAAGUAUGACAGGGAGGCAACACGUCGAACGUGGUUCACGGUAGGCCCUCUGUUCUGUGAUUGUUAGGCAAACACAAACAUUUUUUUUUACAACGGACGCCCACGAGUAUUCCUCUGCGUUGAAGUCAUUGUUGAAGUUUGAAAACUCAUAAAGUUUUGUUUUGUGAGUGAAACCGUGAAUAAUACUAAAUAAAAAUGUGUGACAGUGAUCACAGUGAUGAAAAUAUGUUGCCCACUACUCCUCAGGAAAUAUUAAAGCCUUUUCCGUUUAUGUUGUUCCGUUGUUUGCUAUUUUGACAACUUGAAAAGUUUUAUCGGCAGUUUGCGUGUUAUUACUGUGAAGUGUUUGGCCAAACCGCCGCUACCACUUUUGAAAGGAUGCCACCCAAAAAUCCAAAAAUGUAAGUUACACAAAACAAAAAGAAUUUAUUUGCAGAAAAAUAUAGCUAUUUGCCAGUUCCUUUGAUCGUUAACUUAUGUGACUGUUUUUUUUCAGUCGCUCGAACGCAGCACAAAUUAGAUUGCUCGUUGAAUACAUGUCACAGCACACCCGGUUCGCCAACCGGGAAUUUGACGGGCCUCUAAGGACCCCAGAGGUACGAGGCGCAAUGGGAGGCCCUUGCACAGGCCUUAAGGGAGCACGGGCCCAAUAAGUCAGUGCAGGCAUGGAAAGUGGAUAUCCUGAACGAACUGAAAAUUUUUAAUGAGGCGCAGAAACAAAAAUGGAGUGUUUUGAAGGAGGGGCACGACUUGUUGGCGAAUCGGUUCAUCCUCUGACCUUUCCAAGGAGCAAGAUCUUAUUUUCGUGUAUGAGAGCCUUUGGAAUACAAUAUUAUUAACGCCCGAAUGAGUGCUACCGCGUUUAAUUUCGCCACUAGGGGUGCUAGUGUAGACGGAGGUCUUUCGAAAUGUCAAAUGCAUAGCUUUUUUAUCGUGAAUUUCUACUCCUCAUUCAUAAUUGUGGUAAAUCUUAUUUCAUCUUUGAUUAGUUAGUCACCAAACAAAAGUAACUCAAAUAGCCGGGUCCACACAGAGCGAGCAUACGCGCCAGGCAACUUCCUCACGCACAAAACGGCCAGUGUAGA